UGAUUUUAGAUUUCAAACCCUAUUAAUUCUUCCUCCAAUUCUGCUCACGCGUAUUCCCUAAGUCAUGCGCCUGAUUGAUACAGCACAAGAGAAAAUCAACUCCCGUGUCUAGGAUAUCUCCAUCAACUUGUCGAUCUUAUCGAUCAAUUUCAAGAUUUUCUGCAACCAAGGAAAAAUUAAAUAAAUGCUCCACUGUACAAGUGGCAUCAACUGAUAUCGAAACUCGAUAUUCCACAGUCUUGUACACAAUUCCAAUAUCGAUGAGUUGCAACAUGUGAGCAUUUCUUCUGUUUCUCCUUAAGUCAAACUAUAGAAUAAAGGAGAUGAAGAAGAAGAAGAAGAAGACAGCAAAACCAUUCGAAUUGGACGGAACAGUAAUCAAAAGAGGAACAGCAACUUGGCUGGAAAGUUGGAGAAAGAACAACAUUGAAGAAUUCGAUUGUUUUUCCAUUAACCAAAGGAAAAUUAAACGACAACGUUCGGCUUCGAAGGUCAACAGGGAUGCCAGUUUUGCACCCCAGUUACUGUGCAUGGCCAUGGGAGCACCCAUGAUAUGUGGCUCUAACACAUUCAGGCCUAAUAUCACCACACCACUGCCUCCAAAUGUUUGGUAUCAUUGUGCAAUUGAAAUUUGAUUGACCUCUCAAUAUGCUCGUCCCGUUCUUUCGCUUGCAUCCUUCAAUUCAACAUAGACUAAGUAUUUAGAUAAGCCAUUAUAAUUCAGGACAAUAUGUGCACAAUUUAAAGCUGCUGUGUAAUCUUUCCUCAGCAUAUCCAUAAAUUGAUAGAAAUUCAAUAUUUGAUUUUUUUCCUUUCUGUGGCAUGAUAAUUUUUUGAAGGAGAUUCUAUACAACAUUACAUUAAAUUUCUUACAAGUCAAUCAACCAACGAUGAAACUGGAAGUAUGAACCCAGAAAUACGGGAAUGUGGUUGUCGGUGAUUUAAUUUAUUACAGAAAAUAUGGAUCUAAAACCCAUUUUAUGGAUAUACUUAAGUGAAUUUUGUCGAUUCUUUUGAAAAUAAUGUAAUAACUCGUUUUUCUUCUUUUGCAGAUCAUACAUAGAUUUUUCAAGUACUAGAGAAAUCGCACCGCUAGCUUCUGUCUGCAGAAUUUGGGACAUGGACUCCACAAUGUGAUGCUUAGGUUUUUCUUUUUCUUUUUCUUUUUCCUUUUUUAAUCCGCUUUUUGAGUCACCUGUCGGUGCUUUUUUUGUUUGGGGGGGGGGGGAUAGGAAACUUUCAUUUAUUUAUUAUAAUUAUUAGUUUUUUUUUUCUAAUAUCCGAUUUUUUUUAGAUUUGGC
rnacentral:lncRNA from 1 species